rnacentral:rRNA from 1 species
CAGUCGCCACGGUAAUACGGAGGGGGCUAGCGUUGUUCGGAAUUACUGGGCGUAAAGCGCACGUAGGCGGCUGUGUAAGUCAGAGGUGAAAGCCCGGGGCUCGACCCCGGAAUAGCCCUUGAGACUGCAUAGCUUGAACACGGGAGAGGUGAGUGGAAUUCCGAGUGUAGAGGUGAAAUUCGUAGAUAUUCGGAAGAACACCGGUGGCGAAGGCGGCUCACUGGACCGUUGUUGACGCUGAGGUGCGAAAGCGUGAGGAGCAAACAGGAUUAGAUACCCCAGUAGUCCCUGUCUCUUAUAC